CCAGGGCUCAGUGGGGGCAGGGGGUCUUAGCCCCCCCACCGGGGCCUGGCCAGGUGUGAAAAGCCCCAUCCCAGUCAGUGGAGCCACCUGGACCCCCUUCCUCCCCCAGCUCUCUCCAGGUUAACCCUUAACAGCGAGCUUGCCUGCCUGCCACUGCAGCGAUGCUUUCAAAUCCCCUGGGCAUGCGCCGGCGUCUUGUCUCCGCCAGCCCCGCUCUCGCAAAGGGGGCUUGCACCUCUGAGGGGGCUUGCCCCAGGGGGAGGCCAGCGGGGCCAGGCUGGGGGAGAUGGGUGUAGCUCCCCCACAGCUGAGACCUGGACGCAGGCAGACGGAUGCAGCAGCAGGGCACGUCCUGGGCUUUGCCCUGGGGCACUGGGUUGGCCAAGUGCUGGCAGCUGGAGCCCGGCAGCGCCUCUCUGCUGUUGUGGGCCCUGGGCAGGGUGGCGGGAGGGGGUGGGCAGUGACUUCCCCAGCAGCUGCGGGGAAUGGCUCAGAGGGUCACCUGGGAGCACGGGCACCAGGGGCUGCGACUGGGGAGGGGAAGCCUUUGGGAUGGGAAUGGCUGCCUCGACUGGCACAACUCUGUGCCUCGGUUUACCUGUCUGAAGGGAUGGGGCAAGGGGAGCAGUGUCCGAUGCCUGUGUCGUGCUUAGGAGCUGGAGUUUGCGCUGGGUGGCUGGGAGCUUCUGGCAAGUGGCUGUGCCCAGUGCUCUGCUGUGCCCUGAGCAG